AAUUCGAUGCAACGCGAAGAACUUACCUGGGCUUGACAUCCCGGGAAUCCCUUGGAACAAGGAGUGCCCUUCGGGAACCUGGAGACAGGUGCUGCAUGGUUGUCGUCAGCUCGUGCCGUGAGGUGUCGGGUUAAGUCCCAUAACGAGCGCAACCCUUAUCGUUAGUUGCCAUCUGGUAAAGCAGGGGACUCUAGCGAAACUGCCACCGUAAGGUGAGAGGAAGGUGGGAUGACGUCAAAUCAGCACGGCCCUUAUGUCCAGGGCUACACACGUGUUACAAUGGUCGGUACAGAGGGCAGCUACCUGGUGACAGGAUGCUAAUCUCGAAAACCGGCCUCAGUUCGGAUCGAAGUCUGCAACUCGCCUGCAUGAAGUUGGAGUUGCUAGUAAUCGCGGAUCAGCAUGCCGUGGUGAAUGCGUUCCCGGGUCUU
rnacentral:rRNA from 1 species